CUGCCAAAGUCCAUGGAGGUCUGUCUCCUGUGGGUGACUCCCCAUGUUAGAGCAGGAGCAAAACAUUAAGAGGAAGGAGUGGUAAAGAACAUACAUGAUAAACUGACUACAACCCUCCUUCCCUAUCCUCCUAUCUUAUCCAGUGAGAGAAGUAAUUUACUGAGGAAUCAGCAUACUGAAAGGACAGAGAAGCAGAACAGGAAGGAACACAAAGCCGACAUGAGGGAGGACAGAAAGCAAUAGCAUCCCCCGCUGUCAACACUAGCAAGCUGAUGAUCCAGUUCUUCAGCUCCCUUCAACAACACAGCUGAUGAACCACAUUUAAGCCCAGGUGACAGACAACAGUGAAUGGCUGCAGACGAUCAUGUCCAAAGCCUGGCUUGUCG